UUGGAAAUGCCCCCAAGCCUUGUCUUUAUCUGUCAACUCCUCCAAAAUGUAAAAACACAAACAAGAUAACUCUUUCUUAAAUUUUCAACCAUCAAUUUUUUAUUCACCCAGCCUAAAAGUCCUGAUUAUCAGUUCUGGGUCCCUGGCAAUGACUGUUGGGUACAAACUGCAAAGCUUUGUUCGUCAGGUAGGGCUGGGCUUUUCAUUGACCAUGGGUUGGAAUAGUUCUGUGGGCAUAGUGUGUCUUCGAAGCCACUAUGUUUUCUGCACUUGUGACUAGAGAGCACCUUCAUAGCUCAGUUGGUAGAGCGGUGGACUGUAAGAUGCUCCUUGUGUGAAACGCCGUGAUCCUAAGGUCGCUGGUUCAACUCCAGCCGGAAGCACCUCCUUGUCAUUGGAAAUACCCCCAAGCCUUGUCUUUAUCUGUCAACUCCUCCAAAAUGUAAAAACACAAACAAGAUAACUCUUUCUUAAAUUUUCAACCAUCAAUUUUUUAUUCACCCAGCCUAAAAGUCCUGAUUAUCAGUUCUGGGUCCCUGGCAAUGACUGUUGGGUACAAACUGCAAAGCUUUGUUCGUCAGGUAGGGCUGGGCUUUUCAUUGACCAUGGGUUGGAAUAGUUCUGUGGGCAUAGUGUGUCUUCGAAGCCACUAUGUUUUCUGCACUUGUGACUAGAGAGCACCUUGAUAGCUCAGUUGGUAGAGCGGUGGACUGUAAGAUGCUCCUUGUGUGAAACGCCGUGAUCCUAAGGUCG